AAGAUGGCCGCCCCCGCCCCGCCACCGAGGCCAUCGCAGUAAUGGAGACGCCGCAGGGCGCCUCAGCCCGCUGCAGACCCCGCGUGCAGCAGAGAGGACAGAGAGUCACCACAGCACUGGAACGUACCCUAGAGUCAUGGCAUUCCUGUGUACUGCCAGGUCUUGGAUCCAGGUCAUGCAUAUGGCAAGCAACAGAUUGAUGCCAUAAAGAUGCAACCUAUACAAGCUCAUUAUCAUAGUCUGGACAUGGCAGAAUAUGGAGUUGCUGCAGAGGAUUUGCCUCCCUCCAUCGGAACGUCCACCAUGUAGAGGGCUGGCUAGCCAAUGACGGGUAAAGGGGAAACUAGCGCUAUCCAGUCAACCUAAGAUAGGGCACCUGGUACUACUGGGCAAAAAUGACCAGGUGUUCCAAUGACAGGUAAGACAGAAGGCUGAUCCCCAACCUAAGACAGGCACAGUCCACCCUACCACAAAACAAAGUCCGCCAAACAUCAAAACAUGAUAUAAGAUAGGGGGACAUGUGGGAAGCCACAUGUGCCCUCAAGGUUGCUAUUGGCAUGGCCAUAGAGUCUUUGUUAAAAGAUAAGUUCCUGGGAGUUGGGCGGUAGCACAGCAGGUUAAGCACACAUGGUGCAAAGUGCAAGGACUGGCAUAAAGAUCCUGGUUCAGGCCCCUGGCUCCCCAUCUGCAGGGGGUUUCUUCACAAUCGGUGAAGCAGGUCUGCAGGUGUCUCUCUUUCUCUCCUCCUCUCUGUCUUCCCUUCCUCUCUCCAUUUCUCUGUCCUAUCCAACAACCACAAUAUUAAUAACAACAAUAAUAAUAAUUACAACAAUAAAACAACAAGAGUGACAAAAGGCAAUAAAUAAAUAAAUAAAUAAAUACUUAAAAAAAAGAUAGUUCCCGCUUCCCUACACCUUAGAGUCUUUGUUAAAAGAUAAGUUCUUCUUCCCUGUGAAUCAUCCAGGACCUUCCAGAUAACGGCUGAUUACCAUGACAAAUAAAAAUAAUCGGGAGUCGGGCUGUAGCACAGCGGGUUAAGCGCAGGUGGCGCAAAGCACAAGGACCGGCAUAAGGAUCCCGGUUCGAACCCCGGCUCCCCACCUGCAGGGGAGUCGCUUCACAGGCAGUGAAGCAGGUCUGCAGGUGUCUAUCUUUCUCUCCUCCUCUCUGUCUUCCCCUCUUCUCUCCAUUUCUCUCUGUCCUAUCUAGAAACGAUAACUACAACAAAAACAACAAGGGCAACAAAAGGGAAUAAAUAAAUAAAUAAAAUAAAUAUUUAAAAAAGUAAAUAAAAAUAAUAAUAAAUAAGAAAGAUAAAUCCCCCAAUACUCAGUUGGCUAAGACACCAAACCUCUUUUUCUAUAAAAAAUUCAAAUCAGAUGCCCUGCUAACCACCAGAAGCAGAUUGUUUGUCUUUCUUCCACAGGACUCCCAGAAAAAAACAUCUGGACCCCUGCACACCCUGACAUCACCCACUAGAUGGCAUGACUACAAUGGCACCCCCCGCCGAAACCCUAGAUGUCACCUGAUGCAAUCUGAAGAGCCUGAUUCACAGACUCCAAGGACAGAACUUUUUUAUUGCCUGUCUGCCUUUCCUGCUUCUGCUUUUCCUGUCACAUGUUGGCGGUUCCAGCUCACUCUCUACAGAAAAGCGGAAAUCCAGUGGCUGACCUUCCUCAUGCAGCAUUUCAUCCUCUGCCAUUUCUCCCCCUAGUCGCCUACUUUGGACUGAGACUUCUAUCAGACUUGCUGGUAUACCCUUUGGACACUUUAGACAAUUUUACAGCAGCUUCCUUCCCUUCACGUUGCUGGUUUUUCAUAGACUGACCCUGAGUAGUUCGUAGACUUUACAGACUGUUGCCCUGGCCAUUAGAUAAAAGGAAAGGGGGAGAUGCUGGGAAAUUGUGCAGAUGCAGUCACAUCUGCCAUGUUGUCCCCUCAGGCUACUGCUAGUUCCUGCAAGAGUUGGGACAUUCUUGGAGUGCCUGUUCUGCCAUGUUGUGCCCUCAGGGCAUUGUCUAUUUCCCUGCGAUAUUUGGAGUGCUUUGGUUACUCCUCUCCCCCUCCCAUUCUCACAAGAGUUAUUAUCCUAUCCUGGAGUGCUAUGGUUACUCCUCCCCCUUCCCAUUCUCGCAAAAGCUGCUCCUAUAAAAGCCCUUCUUCCACACCUCUCUCUCUUGCCGGCGCUUCACCUCUCUUGCGACGCUUCACACCUCUUGCCGGCACUUCACCUCUCUUGCCGGCACUUCACCUCUCUUGCUGGUGCUUCACCUCUCUUGCAGCACUCCACUUCAGUGUUUAGACGCAGGAAAGGUUACUGCAUGAGGCAGCCAUUUUCGCUACCUCCACGCAGCCCAACUGUUUCUCUCACACCCAACUCUGAGGUGCCAGCGCAAAUAAAGAUUUGUGUUCCCUCUUUGCCCCAGACCUCCUCUCUCUCUUCUCCGUGGCACAGAACGACAGUUUUACAGAAUGCCCUCAUUUUGAUUCACUCAGGACCCAGAUUCAAGCCUCUGGCCCCCACCUGCAAGAGGAAAGCUUCAUGAGUGAUGACGCAGGGCUG